GGGGCCGUAGCGUAGUCCGGUUUAACGCGCCUGCCUGUCACGCAGGAGAUCGAGGGUUCAAAUCCCUUCGGCCCCG
rnacentral:tRNA from 1 species